GAAUGAAGGAAGCAAGGUAACGAGCACAGAAAUUGAAUCGGUCUCUAGGCUUGCCCUCUCUAAUGCCUUCCGGCUUUGGUUUGAGAACAUGGUUCCACGGCAUAACA